CCCCGGGGCGCUGCCGAACUGCGACGUCCUGCCGAAAGGGCCUGCAGGCAGAGGCUUCUGAGGAGGGUUUGGCUUUCGGGUUCCCUGUGAGAAACACAAGAUUACCCCCAUCACUCCUCUCCUCUGGAGGCAGCAGGGUCCCUGGGCACUGGGACAGGCGGGCCACUCCUCGGCACAGGCGUCAUUUUCUGAACGUUAUCCUUUUGUCAACCCCCACCCCGUUGUAUGAUCUCUGUUAACCUUCUUUCCAAAGGUCUCUCUAACACGCAAAGACUUUUCCACAGGAGCACGCUACAAACGCCGCAACGUGGGUUUUCCCGGCCCGUGCCGUGCCGUGGGCGUGGGGUUUCCUGGCCAGGCCAACCCUACCAGCGCAUGAUACCUCUCCCGGGCCUGGAGGCUGCUCUUCAGUUUGGGGGGGCCUAAAACGAGAAGUCGGUGAAAGUCUUCUCACGCCUCACAUUCUUGCACCGGGCCGGGGCGCGUAGCAGGACCCGCGCAACCGCAAGUCGGAGGAGGAGCCUCCGCGCGCACGUGCUGGGCGAGCCGAACGCCGACUCACGCUGCACAGGGAGAGGCGCUCAAGUUCUUUCACCAAAACACUUUAACGAUUCAAAGAAUCGACACAGGGGUUUCAGGGACAAGUGAAAGGAGGGCAUUCCACUCCGGGUUUUGUCCAAAGGCCAUGCUUCAGCCUUGCACGAGCCACUCGACCGCCCCAAUCCUUGUUUUCCUCCUCUGGAAAACGGGAAAUGAAACCCCUCUCCUAGCAUGGCUAUGAAGACUACAUAAAACAACGCGUAGGAGAUUCUCAGCACAGAGAUGAUACCAGCGUUGCCACAUGUCACAAAUUUUAUAAUGCUUAAUAGAAACACAAGGGAAAACCAGAAAAGUAAACUCAAAGCUACGUGUUUUCAGGGGGGCCCUCCCGUGGCUACCCCUGAGGGUGGGGUUCAUUGGAGCUGGGUGCAGAAGUCGGUGCGUGUCAGGCCUGGCUCCCUGCUCUUGGGCCCAGGCGAGUAUGGGUGCCAAGACGCCUCCUGCUCUGGGCCUUGAAGCCUAGCGGCACUCAUGGAUGCCCACAAAGUCUGUAGGAAACGGUGCUAGAACCUCAAAGGAGACAACAUCCUAAUAAUCAAAUGAUCUAACUCACUGUCAUAGCACUCAGUGUUCCAUACAAUUUUGAGAAACACUCAAAAAUGACUUUAAAACACUUGAGUUGAAUUUCUCACUGUGCUGCUCACACUAAAAGUACAUUUACUCAGCACGUGGAGCUCAAUCGAAAGAAUGCAAUAGUCUAAUCACCAUUUACUGUAUCUUUGUAGAGUACAGGAAGCUCUAACAGAAGUUUGUCAACCACAGCUGUGCGGAAAACAAGCCAAGUUGGAAUGGUGGAGAGACUGGGCUGAGAAGGGGCCACUGAACAAGGGACAGGUUUAAAGCGACACUUCAAUAUUUUCAUUAGAACAUUAGCAGGAUGUAGAAUAUAAAAUAGAACAAAUUCCCUAGCUAGGAAUAAAGACCGUAUAACGUGACUGAGAGUACGGGCUUUUUGUAAAUUACUAGUUCUAUAAGUGUAUGCAGUUUCCUUGUUGGUAGAGAGGUAAUAGUCCCUCCCUUCAUGGUUGGGGGUUGAGGAUUUAAGUGAGAUAUUCAAGCUCUUACCAUGCCUGGCAUGCAGGAACCGGUGAGUAAGUGUUUGCUGCUGCUAUACUACAACCAUCAAUGCUGGAGUGAAUUUAUCGAAGAGCACCAUAACCCUACCAACAAAUUUUGGGUAAUAAACUAAGGCAACAAAUCAACUUCCAUCUCCUAUAAGGUAGCAGAAAGCUAUGAGCAAGAUAUUAGUGUGUAAUGUAAAAAUGAAUGCAUACACUCAUAAAAUUGAAAGACUUUGGGAAUUAAAUAAUUACUGAUACUAGUUUUGCUGCUAAGUAUGACUAAAUAGCCUUGGGAAUGAAGAUAAUGUCAGGUAUUUAUUGCAAUGCUGGAGAAAAAGUGAGGUAUAUGUUACAAUCUAUCACCAUAUAUUUGGAUUUAUUAUGAAAAUGUAGGAGAUAAUUAGGUUGGCCAUUCAUUCUAGUUUGCCUGGGACAUUACCAAUUUAUGCUUGUGGUCCUGUUUAAUUAUUAAUCACGUUCCCUCAGAUGUGUCUCUUGCUUUAGGAGGUAAGUUUUAUGGUCACCGUAGUGAUAAAAGUCCAAAUGGGUGAGAAGCUUAUUGAAAGUUCUGACUUCAAACCCAGGGACCAGCAGAGAUACCAUCUGCUUCCUCUAGCCACGCCCGGGACCUGGCUGGAUGGAGACAUGAAACGGGUCCACGCCAAGAUGUUGCCUAGGCAAGAUACUGGCUUCCUGCCAGGCCUCAACCGGGACAAAAUGGUGGAAUAGUGGGGUUGGUCCAAGAAAAGGUGCCAUCACAGAGGUGAGGCACGGAGCAUGGAACCCAUGAGAUACUGGGCAAGAAUCGCCAGCGGCAUAUGCCUUGCCCUUGGAGAAAGGGAUGGAAUUUCCACGUUGCCUUUAGGUGUUUUCACACUGCCUUUGCACCUGGGCCUGGACUUUUCCAGAGAAGUCCAGUCUGGCCACCAAGAAUCAUCUGAACGAAGGUGAGACACGAGUCCAGCUUACACUAGAUCAAUAUUUCUUGGUCUAUUUUAACUUUAAAUGAGGAAGUGAAGAAUGCAAACCCUGUUCUUCUCCCCUCUCGACAUCUUCCGGAUAUUGAGGAAAAAUCCAGGUAUGCUAUAUAACAGGGCUGUCCUAUUCCAUUUUUCUGCUCAUGUUCCAGUAAUAGCCACAUAUGUCAAACUUUUAGGAAAACUUCUUGAAAACGAAUAGUUUUAAAUCCCAAAAGAACCACUCUGCCUUGAGCACCAUCAUAAAGAAUGCCCAACUUCCACUUGAUAAGCAGGACGGGUUUACUCUUGUUUAUCGGAGAGAUCUCCCGGGGAAGACGGGAAGGCAUGGCGGGAGAAUGCCUCGGCCACCAGCGAUCCCCGACAAGCUUGCACAGGGGCAGCAUGAACGUGGUACACUAUACAAACUCGGCCUCCCGCUGCCUAAAAUGUGAUGGUGGAAAUCACGUGUGCAGAACAGAAGGUACGUGUAAUAAGGCACAGUAAUGCAGACAUCGUAGAACCAACCAAAGCUGAGGGGUAGGUCUUCCAUUUCCACAGGAUGGCAAGCCGUGAGGUGGUGACCUGCCCUUUCUCUGAAAACCAUUGAGAUUGUGAGAUGUUUUUAAGACAAAAUCCAAUUGAAAGUAUCAGCCUGCGGAGGUAAGCAGUAUGCUGAUGCUGAAGGCAUCGACCAAAUUAGGAAAACCUGAGUUGGUUUUGGUACCCUUUUAUGGUGAGGAACACGGAAAUCAAGGUCAGGAACUCUGGGGAGAAACCCAAUGCCCAGGUUUAAGGGGAGAUCGUUCUUUUCCUGACUCCUCUCUAUUUAAGCCAGGCUCUGCAAAGGAGACUUCAGGUUAAGUGGUUUAUAGAAGUAAAUGUAUACUAUAAUUUCUCUCCAGGGAAGUGUCAGGAUUGCUCCCUUGGUGCUGGGCAGACAAACCUGUCACCACCAAUUGUCCUUGAGGACUCAAAGCUGAACUCACAUCCCCUGUGUGGUUGAGUAAGCCCCAAGCCCUUGAAAGCAGUUCUAAACUGGUACAGCCAGCAGACACGUGGCCGAGGCCAGAUAAACCCUCUAUGGAGGAACAUAUCUGCAUCCUAGACCUUGAAGAACUCUCACAGAUGAUCUUCAAAAAAAUGAGCGUACAAAGAAGCAAGGAAAUAUGAGUAAGAAGCAAUGAAAAAUAUACCCAGAUUUUCUUACUGUGUUUAAAGAAAUAAAAGACAAGCCAGCACCAUCGAAAUUAGAACCAAAGAACUUCUAGAAAUGAAAAAUACAGAUGAGUGUAAGUGCAAAUGACACAAAGGAGGAAGGGACUCAUUUUCAUUCAUCCAUGACUCGUUGAUGAUGAUGGUCCCAGAGAGUAUGACUGAUGCCAGGACAACUUAAUUUUCACUGUUUAAAAUGCACAUUUCCUACGUGCCUACUGUGUCCGAGGGGCUGGAUUUAGGUGUGGCCGAGAGGGAGACUGGCUCAGUCUCUGCCUGCAGAAGUAGGACAGAACAGAGUCUGAGAUGAAUUACAAAGCAGCAGAAGGUAUAGAAAAACUCCCCUGGUGCUUCCAAAGUGGCUUGUAAUAUGCAAAUGUAUGCCGACCUAUCUUCCCACUGUAAGUGCGUGUUCCUGGUGGAUUGCAAAUCCAAUACACAAGUCAGGGCAGGGGCAAAUUCAAUGCCAAGCUUAGAGAAGCACAGAGAAGAUGUUCUAUCAAUGCUUCCUGUCCAUGCAGAAAAUGCAAAAAAAAUCUGGAUGAAAUUCAUAAAGCAUCUGAUGGAAGACUCAAAGUUGGAGGAAAGAAAGUAGACUGGCUAGGGACAUCAAAAGUUACCCUACCCAGCGGUGAAUUCUUGUAUGUGUUUUUCCUUUUAUGUAUCUUGGCCUGAGCGAUGGAGAGGCCCACAACCUGGAAAUAACUAAUGGUACCAGGCUGAAAUUAGAAAAAGAAUCCCUAAGGAAAAGCCUGUUAUCUUCAGCCAAAACACUUGGAAAGGGCAGUCCAGAAUGACAAACAUUUUGAUCACCCUGGACCUCACUCUAGCUCAACACCAGAAAAAGGCCCUGUCCCUCCUCACGGGGCAUCAUGGCCGGGGGACUGGCAGAUCUCUGCUUUCCCUCACUUCUCGAAAUGACAUCCCUUCCCUGGAACAGAGACUGUGGGCAGAAUUUUGGUGGAUUUCUCAACACCAUGGAGUCUAGAAGGAAGCGGAACAACGUUGUUCAGUGCUAAAAGAAGAAAACAGUCAACUCAGAAUUCUAUAUCCAGCAAAAGUAUCCUUCAGAAAUUAAAGGUAAAACAAAGACAUCCUCAGAUAAAGGAAGUUUUUGAAAGAAACUUACAACAUAAGGCACGAAGAAGCAAUCUGAGUAAAUAUAAUACUUAUGUUUUAAAAAUUACAUUUGGCUGAAAGAAAAAAAUACAACAUCUGAAGCAGUUCUCAGUGUACAUAAAUGUAACAAGACAUGUCAUAAAGGGGUGGAUAAAGGGAGCUAAAAGGUGUUAAAUUAUGUACAAAUUUUGUAACCUUUAGCGCAGUGGUUUUCGUAGUCUACUAGUGUCAAUACUUUAUCAAUCAGGGUGGUUUUGCCUUUCAGCAGAUGUUUGGCAAUAAAAAGACAUAAUUACAUGAGCUUUUGCCAUCUAGUUUGUAGAAACCAGGGAUGCUGCUAAACAUCCUAUGAUGCACAGGAAAAUCCCUAUACAACAUUCAGCACAAAAUGCUAGGUUGAGAAACUCUGCCCUAGAGCAAUCAUACAAAAAACUAUAAAGAUAUAUAUUCAAACCCACUAUAGCUAAAUCAACAUGAAAUACUAAAAAAUGUUGAAAUAAAUCACAGGAAUAUCAGAGUGAACAAAUAACAUGAUAGGUUUAAAUUCUAACGUAUCAAAGACAGUGACUGGCAGGAUGAAUGAAACAAUGUAUGAGCCAACUACAUGCUGUCUACAAGCAACUAUUUUCAAAUCUAAUGCUGUAGAUAGGUUAAAAGUGAAACAAUGGGGAAAGACUUAUUACAUUGCAAACACUAAUCAAAAGAAAACUGUAGCGGAUAUACUAAUAUCAGAUGAAGUAGACUUUUAGAACAAAGAUUACCAGAGUAACUUUACAUAAUGAGAAAAGGGUCAAUUCACAAAGAAGAUACAACACUCCUACCUGUGUGGAGCAUGAAUAGAGCUUCAAAAUAAAGCAAAAACUGAUGAACUGAAAGGAGACACAAUUACACUUGGAAAACUUCAACACUCCCUUUCAGUAACUGAUAAAAUAUCCCAGUUUUUUCUGUUUAGUAGUUCUAUCAAAUUGUCAAAGCUUUGAAAAAAAUUUAAUACAAGCAAAGUCAUGGUGAGAAAGGCAAUGCAGGAACAUCAAUAUACGUAAUUAUAUAAAUUAUUUUUUCAGAACUAUUAGGCUUAAAAUGGUCAUACCAUUUUUCAACCCAAUGUUGCAUUUUUUUCUAGGGGAAUAAUUUAAGUAAGGAGGUUCAAAAUAUAUCUGUCUAGAACUUCAUAACAGAGCUAUUUAUAAUAGCCAAAAUUAGAGAUAUAUAAACAUGCCUAAUAAUGGACAAGUACUUAAGGAAAAAAGUAGUAUAUAAAGCUCUGUACAUGGAGAAUUGUUAAAAAUAGAGACCUACAAAAAUUAAAAUAUAAUAAAAAAUUACCUGUGAUUAUCUCAAUUUUUUUUCCUUACCCCCUCAAGUUUCCUACUGUGAAAUAUCACAUUCAUAAUCCCAACAAACUAACUUUUACUUCCAAAAACAGCAUAAAAAUGAGAUAAUAUAUACAAAGUACCCACUCUACUACAGAGAUACUCAGUAGGUGGUAAAAUUCUUGUAAAUAUUUUGAAAGUGAAAAUUGGUGAGAAAGUAUAACCAUGAUUAUGCUUAGUGGGACUGUCUCAUGGUUUAGAUAAGUUGCAUGGGUACCUUAACUAGUGUGAAUAUAAAAACAAUUACUAACAGUACGUUAAAACAGAUUUCACCAACUGCUUUAUGUGGAUUUUCUCAUUCAACCAUCUGAGUAGCUGAAUUAUCUCCAUUUUAUAGAAGCAAGAAGUUUAAGCAGCUUG